rnacentral:lncRNA from 1 species
AAAACUCUUGUUGUUACUCUUUAUUUAUAGAAAAAACUCUCCUCAUGCUCACACUCUCUCUCUUGCUCCCCUCACUUGCAAACGACAAGGCACUUCAAGCCUUAAAAAGUCUCAUAUCGACUAAACAUUCAAAGUAUAUAAGAGAGAUUGUCUAUAAAACCUAAGCCAAGCACAACCUUUAAUCACGUUGUUCAUGGGUUUUAUGCUUAAAAUUAAGCAUGAAACACAUACUCUAUGAUUGAUAUUCACACAAGUGAAGUUUGAAUAUUUUGCACGUGGAAACAUGUGUGAGU